CUUUAGUCAGUGGCAAGGUUAGGAAGAAGCAUGUCUGAUCCGUGAAGCAAAGAACAGCUCUUUUCCUGUACAAUAUUUGCACUGGGCGACCAAGAUCAUUGGGCUCUGCGGGAUCGUCGGGCUCACGGAUACCAAGGAAGAAACGUCGGGACCAACACUCAUCAGAGAGAUCGCAAGACCAUUCAUGUUUGUCUUUCCCGAAGCACUGUCAUGCUGCCUUCUUCAGUUUAUCGCAUCGCCAGCAUCGUCUCUGUCUCCUCAAUCAUCCUAUCCCAGCAGCCAUAGAUUUCCUGAACAAGGACCAUCGGCACUGACACGUUCCAUGUCAUCAAUGCAAAGGAGCUGUCGAGACUCAACCUCGACCAGGUCAUACCAUCAGGACCAACCUCAGUGCCAACAAUGAUCAGAACCAAGAUACUUUGCAUCUGACUCCAGGAACGCUUUCAGUGAUUACUCUUCUACGUCGGAUAAUUUGCCAGAGGACAUUGUGAAGGACGAUGCACCAGGGUCUCAGGCUGAGGACCUACAACUUUUCUCCAAGCCUUUAAUCCAGAUGGCUAAGGCUUUCAAAUUCAGUUAUAGACCCAGAACUCAGGAACCAGAUGCUUCAGUCAUGGACAUGGUGCAUAAAACUGGCAAUGCUACUAUUGAGGUCAGUGGGAACUGAUUCAGUCCUUACCAAGAACUUCCAGGACAUGACUAAUUGGUGUCACACUGCAAUUGGACAUUCCUCCCACAAAAAACUGGAAAGUCUCUACAGGGUCCAGAGGGAGGGUGCUGAAUUUCCAUUUGGUGAUCCAGAACCGAACUCAAUGAUUGUCAAAAUUGUUACAAUUUGUAAUAAGGGUGCUUCUCAUUCAUCCCUCCAAGAUAAGGAGGGAAGGAAACUUGACCUUGUUGGCCAAAAGUUCUUCUCAGAAUCACUAAAGGUGCUCAUUUUAAACCUCAUUGCCAUCGUGCCUCAGUACUAAGUUUACCUAUGAGACCAUAUGGUUUCAUUCCUGGAAAACCUUCUGGAGGAGCUGAAAUCCCUCAUCAGGGCUACCAGCGGGAAGGGGUCCAAAAUAGCCACUAAAGAAAUCAGUAGUCCUCCACCAUUACUACUGGAGAAAGUGAACUCCUUUUUGAAGAAGGGGGCCAUUUGGGAGGCUAGGGAGCAAUCCCAUUGGUCUGGCCUUUUUCCCUGUUACUUUCUUCUAUACAAAAAAGAGGGAGAUAAGUGGUUUAUACUGGAACUGAGAGUUUUAAACAAACAGCCGAGAGUAUGCAUGUUCCAGAUGCUCUUGUAACAGAUAUCCUCCUGUUGCUUACCCCACAAGUAUAGCUCUUAGUUAUUGAUCUUGAGGAUGCCUACUUUCAUGAACAGUGUUGUGGGUGCCUUAGAUUCCACUAUGGGGACCACCUCUGUGAGUUUAUUGUCCUCCCAUUUGGUCUGGCCGUCACCCCAAGGACCUUCACUAAGUGAAUGGCUGUGAUGGUGACAUUCCUGGCAGAGAGAGGGUGCACUAUUUUUCCCUCUGAUGACUGGCCUUUGACAGCACACUGAAGAAUUGCUUGCCCAACAAGUUGGUCUGACCACCUCCACUUUAGAAGGUUUGGCUUUCCUAAUUAAUUAUGAGACAUCUUCUCUGAGGCCUUCCCAGAGUAUGAAAUUCAUAUGGGCCCACUUAGAUUUUAAGAUGGCUAGGGCAUACCUCCCUCUCUCCAGAGCACUAGCCAUCAAGAAGAUUGUGCAGAGAUUUACAGCCAAUAGAUUUCAGACUAUUCAGCCAUCCAAAAGAUGUUAGGGCUAAUAAUCUCCACAACAGCAGUUGUUCUGCAAACUGGGCUCUUUAUGAGACAGCUACAAAACUGGUUCAUUCAGAACCAUGAUCCAACAGGAAAUAGCCCUGCCAAAAAGUUAUCAAUCUCCAGGUCAGUCAUCAGGUUCCCUCAGAUAACCAAUUACAGGGAGUGACCUUUGGCCCAGACAGUUUUGACGCAUUUGUUGUUACUGAUUCAUCUUUGUGGGAAUGUGACAUGAUCAUAUGCAAAGGGACGUGAUCAGAUGCAAAGAGGGCAUGCCAUAUAAACUAUUGGACCUAAGAGAAAUAUGGUUUUCCCUUAUAUCUUUUGCAGAGAGGCUGUAUGAGAUAAAUAUUUUCAUUGGAUGACAUGGCAAGGUACUACCGUAUGUUACCAAGCAAGGGGGAUCCUUCUCAACACACCCCUGCAAAGAGGCAUCUCAGAUCUGGGCUUGGGCAAUCCAGCACAAUUUUUCCUGUUACCCAUUCAUAUUAAUGGGGAUAGCAAUGGGGCCUACUGCUUGAGGGCAAGAGUGGGAAGGGGCUCUCUGGGGGAUGCAUUCCAGUUUCAUCUUUCCCCCCUUAGCCCUGCUAAACAAGGCAGUGGCCAAGAUUAGUGGCUCCAUGCUAAAACUGACAACCUUGGUUCCCAGUCCUCAAGACACUUGCCAAGGGCUAGUCUUAUACCUUCCCACCAGCUCCCAACCUUUUGUCAAUGAGUCAUGUGUGCAAUCAUAAAAUGUGGCCACUCUCAGGCUAACAGACUGGCUGAUAACUCCCUAGAAGUGUGGUCACUGUGUAUUAGAGAUGUCCUCCUGGUCUAAAGAAAGCCAUACGCCAGAUGUUGCUAUGUUUAUAAAUAGAACAAUUUCUGACAUGGACAUGUAAGGUUGAUAUAGUCCCCUGACAUCUAUUUUUGAUUAUUUGUUUAAGUGGCAUUGGACUGUUGGUCUCAUUCAUUAAAGUUUACUCAUUGGCCAUUUUUGCCUUCCAUGUUGGGUUUGGCUUGGGUACUCCUCUGCUAACAGGUUUAUGAGGGCACGUAAUGGCCCAUACCCGGCUGUGACAAGACCGGUUCCCCAACAAAGCUUAAUGCUGAUGCUAUCCAGACUCAUGUGGAAAUCCUUUGAACCACUGGUACACUGUGACCUUACUUUCCUAUUCUACAAGGCGCCCUUUCUGGUAGCCAUCACCUCUGCUAGGAGGGUCAGCAAAAUAUGAGUCCUCUGUUGGGAUAACCCACCCUCCCCCAAGACCAUAGCUAAGGCUGACAAGUAGGCUGGCAUAAACUAUCCGUUGGCGCUUUGUGCACACUCCACAUGGGCACAGGCUGCUUCCACUGCUUGGGUGUCCAGGGUGGCCAUUGAGUAUAUCUGCCAUGCUGCUACGGUCAGUGAACUAAGGGUCAUCUCCAUCAACCAUCAUUGGGCACUACAUGAUGGAUAUUGACUCUGGAAAGAAAGCAGGGAUUGGGAGAGUGGUCCUGCAGGUGAUAUUCAAAUGGCAGCCACACACCAACCUCUACAAGUGAGGAAGCUCACUAUUCUCCCAAUAUGGGACUGCACAGAAGACCCACGAAGUUGAAGAACAACAUUGAACUUACCUGUAAUAGUGGUUCAUUGAAUGGGCUUCUGUGCAGGGACGCAUGUCCUCCCUUCUACCCCACCAUGGGCUACUGUUCAAAUCUGACUAUUACUGAUUGUUAUAGCCAUGGUGGCAGUAGGAGAACUCAGAUGGGAAAGUUUCCACCUAAAUGAAGGGAGGAGAAGUGAGCACUUCUUAAAGCAGCAGACCAGAAAUUCAAGCUUUCCAUUUUACAAGGUAGGCCUGUGCGUGCAAAUUCCAAAUGUGUGCCUGCACAGACUCCCACUCGAUGAACUACUGUAAGUGCAAUGUAAUUCAUAUUCAUUGCGGUAAAGGGUACCUUGGUACUACCAACCAUGAAAAUACCACACUCAAGCCAGUGAGUUCCAAAACAACCAGUAAUCCUUUCUUUAGUAUUUGGGUUCAGUUGCUUGAAAUGGUUUGAGGGUGCUAUGUUGUGCUGUCUCUAUUUCUAAGGCAUCCUAAUUUACAUGUCAUUCUUCAUCUGCCUUUCCAUAACUUUCAUGACUAUAUAAGUUCUUGGGCAACUGCUCUAAUAUUUCACAAGUGGGUUUGGCGUCAGAAGACUACUUCAGUGUCUGAUCUGUACAGAGAGAGUUAAAAAAACAGUUUUUUAUGUUUCCUGGUAAGCUUUAUCAUCCUUCUUGACAGCCCAUCCCUCAUGUAUGACUGACUGGUCUGAUCUCAGAGGUUCUGUGCUGUUUUUGAAUAACUUGAUUCUUCUCAAAGCAUCUCAAAAGAAACACAACCACAUGAGGAAGAGACAUGUGACAUCCUGAGGCUUUUAAAACUAUGAUUGUUUUGAUUAGCUAAAACCAUUUUUCUGUUAGUUUAAAAUCAACCUUAGCGCAUAUCAAGGUAGCUCUGAAAGUUACUUCAGAUGUGUACUUACUAUUUUUUCUAUGAUUUUUGAUAACAGAUAUACAAAACCAUUGUUGCAGCUUUUACAAAUACACAGGUAAAGCUUCCCUAGGGGGAAAAAUAACCCAAGGAGUCUUACUGAAAUAUAAGAAAAAUUGUUAACCCACCAAAUAUGAAUGGAGGCUGAGAAGAGUUUUGGUUCAGCCAAGUAACUAAUAUAUUAUUCAGAUGUAUUGUCAAACCAUUAUUUGGUUCAACGUGGAGAAAUUGAUGAUGGCGUUUCCCUUUUUCUUUAUUUGAACACAGCAGUUAAAAUACUGGCUUCCAAAUUAAUGCAAAACAUACAAACUUAUUUGCCUUAUUGCAUGCAUUUAUGCAUGUGUGUGUGUCUUUAUAAUUGAUGGGGAUUCUAUGAUGUUUACAAGUAUUUUUCACUUGUUUUAAACCACAAAAUAUACACAGCAGUGAAAUUCAUAAAUGCAGUUUUCCUGCAUUACACAGCCCACAGCCUUCUUUAUUGCACUUGAUGACUUGACAAAGGUAGAGCUUUUCAGCAAAAGUCUGGGUUUGCAACUGUGUCAGAUUUUGUAUUUUGCACUGUGAUGAAGUUAUCAACAAUUGAUUGGUGUACUUAGAAUCUUGUAUACAAGUUGGUCUGGGUUUAUUGCAAAACUUGUAGAAUGGAACUACAGGUCAACCCAAUUGCUUGUCACACAGUCAGACAGUGCUGGAAAAAAACUGAAAAGAGGAGGCAGAAAAAGGAG